UCAAGUUAUGAAGGGCGCAGGGUGGAUGCCAUGGCACUGGACGCCGAAGAAAGACGUGGUAAGCUGCGAAAAGCCACGGGGAGCCGCAAGCAGGCUUUGAUCCGUGGAUGUCUGAAUGGGGAAACCCGGCGGAAGUAAUGUUCCGUCAUCCGUGAAUGAAUCCAUAGUUCACGAGAAGGGCACCCGGGGAACUGAAACAUCUAAGUACCCGGAGGAAAAGAAAGAAACAUCGAUUUCGUCAGUAGCGGCGAGCGAAAGCGAAAGAGCCCAAACCAUCCGACUACGGUUGGGUGGGGUUGUGGGUCAGCAACAUGUACGACGAUGCUUAGGAGAAGAGUUCUGGAAAGGACUUCCAAAGAGGGUAAGAGGCCCGUAUCCGAAAAGCAAAAUCGGCUAGCUGAUACCAGAGUACCACAGGACACGAGGAAUCCGGUGGGAAGCAGGAGGGACCACCCUCCAAGGCUAAAUACGAUCCAGUGACCGAUAGCGCAUAGUACCGUGAGGGAAAGGUGAAAAGAACCCCGGGAGGGGAGUGAAAAAGAACCUGAAACCCUGUGCUUACAAGCAGAGAGAGCACGAUUAAGUGUGAUCUCGUACUUUUUGUAGAACGGACCGGCGAGUUACGUUAUGCAGCGAGGUUAAGAACUGAAGGUUCGGAGCCGAAGCGAGAGCGAGUCUGAAUAGGGCGUAGAGUUGUAUGACGUAGACCCGAAACCGGGUGACCUAUCCAUGGGCAGGUUGAAGUGGUGGUAGAACACCAUGGAGGACCGAACCAGACGUCCGCUGAAAAGGGCGGGGAUGACCUGUGGAUAGGGGAGAAAUUCCAAUCGAACCCGGAUAUAGCUGGUUCUCCUCGAAAUAGCUUUAGGGCUAGCCUCGAGUCAAGAUACACGGAGGUAGAGCACUGAAUGUUCUAGGGGCCUUCACCGGUUACCGAAAACUAUCAAACUCCGAAUGCCGUGCAAUCAUACUCGGGAGUCAGACUACGAGUGAUAAGAUCCGUGGUCGAAAGGGAAACAGCCCAGACCUACAGCUAAGGUCCCAAAUUACAGAUUAAGUGGAGAAGGAUGUGGAGCUGCAUAAACAGCUAGGAUGUUGGCUUAGAAGCAGCCACUCAUUUAAAGAGUGCGUAAUAGCUCACUAGUCGAGUGACUCUGCGCCGAAGAUAAACGGGGCUGAAAUCUACUACCGAAGCUUAGGAAUUACGUUUAGUAAUUGGUAGAGGAGCAUCGUAUACGGGCAGAAGCUGUGCUGAAAGGCAUGGUGGACUGUAUAGGAGAGAGAAUGUUGGCAUGAGUAGCGUAAGGCAGGUGAGAAUCCUGUCCGCCGAAAAUCUAAGGUUUCCUGAGGAAGGUUCGUCCUCUCAGGGUUAGUCGGGACCUAAGCCGAGAGCGAAAGCUGUAGGCGAUGGACAACAGGUUGAGAUUCCUGUACCACCGAAAGUUGAUUGAACGAAGUGGGGACACAGAAGGAUAAGCUGAGCGCGCCGCUGGUAGAGCGCGUCUAAGCACCAAGGGAGAUGGCCAAGGCAAAUCCGGGCUGUCAAUUCUGAGGUGUUAUGGGGAGGGAAAAGAAGUACCGAAGCAGCAGAUUUCACGCUGUCAAGAAAAGCCGCUAGUGAGACCGUAGGUGCCCGUACCGCAAACCGACACAGGUAGAUGAGGAGAGAAUCCUAAGGUGAGCGAGAGAACUAUUGUUAAGGAACUCGGCAAAAUAACCCCGUAACUUCGGGAGAAGGGGUGCCUGCGAAAGCAGGCCGCAGUGAAAAGGCCCAGGCGACUGUUUACCAAAAACACAGGUCUCUGCGAAAGCGAAAGCUGAAGUAUAGGGGCUGACGCCUGCCCGGUGCUGGAAGGUUAAGGGGAAGUGUUAUCGAAAGAGAAGCACAGAACUUAAGCCCCAGUAAACGGCGGCCGUAACUAUAACGGUCCUAAGGUAGCGAAAUUCCUUGUCAGGUAAGUUCUGACCCGCACGAAAGGCGUAACGAUCUGGGCACUGUCUCAACAAUAGACUCGGUGAAAUUGUAGUACCGGUAAAGAUGCCGGUUACCCGCAGCAGGACGGAAAGACCCCGUGGAGCUUUACUGUAGUCUGAUAUUGGAUUUCGGCGUUGCAUGUACAGGAUAGGUGGGAGACUGAGAGGCUAGUACGCCAGUAUUAGCGGAGUCACCGUUGGGAUACCACCCUUGUAACGUUGAGGUUCUAACCGCGUGCCGUGACCCGGUGCCGGGACAGUGUCAGAUGGGCAGUUUGACUGGGGCGGUCGCCUCCCAAAGAGUAACGGAGGCGCCCAAAGGUUCCCUCAGAAUGGUUGGAAAUCAUUCGAAGAGUGUAAAGGCAGAAGGGAGCUUGACUGCGAGACCUACAAGUCGAGCAGGGACGAAAGUCGGGCUUAGUGAUCCGGUGGUACCGAGUGGAAGGGCCAUCGCUCAACGGAUAAAAGCUACCCCGGGGAUAACAGGCUAAUACCCCCCAAGAGUCCACAUCGACGGGGGUGUUUGGCACCUCGAUGUCGGCUCGUCUCAUCCUGGGGCUGAAGUAGGUCCCAAGGGUUGGGCUGUUCGCCCAUUAAAGAGGUACGCGAGCUGGGUUCAGAACGUCGUGAGACAGUUCGGUCCCUAUCCGCUGUGGGCGAGGGAUAUUUGAGUGGAGCUGCCCUUAGUACGAGAGGACCGGGGUGGACAUACCGCUGGUGCACCGGUUGCAGUGCCAACUGCAUAGCCGGGUAGCUAAGUAUGGAAGGGAUAAGCGCUGAAAGCAUCUAAGUGCGAAGCCCCCCACAAGACAAGAUAUCCUGACCGAAAGGUGAGAGAUCUCUGGAAGACGAACAGUUAGAUAGGUCGGAGGUGGAAGUGCAGUAAUGUAUGGAGCUGACCGAUACUAAUCGAUCGAAAACUUAACCAA
rnacentral:rRNA from 1 species